AACUAAGUUUGUUAUUGGUAUGAGCUUUUGUGUGAAUGCACACUUCUUCAGAUACCAAGAAUUUGAAGAAGUGUGCAUGCACACCAAGGUAUCUGAAGAAGUGUGCAUGCACACGAAAGCUCAUACCAAUAACAAACUUAGUUGG